CGGAGGAUCCAAGCGUUAUCCGGAAUCAUUGGGUUUAAAGGGUCCGUAGGCGGUUUAGUAAGUCAGUGGUGAAAGCCCAUCGCUCAACGGUGGAACGGCCAUUGAUACUGCUAGACUUGAAUUAUUAGGAAGUAACUAGAAUAUGUAGUGUAGCGGUGAAAUGCUUAGAGAUUACAUGGAAUACCAAUUGCGAAGGCAGGUUACUACUAAUGGAUUGACGCUGAUGGACGAAAGCGUGGGUAGCGAACAGGAUUAGAUACCCUGGUAGUCCACGCCGUAAACGAUGGACACUAGCUGUUGGGAGCAAUUUCAGUGGCUAAGCGAAAGUGAUAAGUAUCCCACCUGGGGAGUACGGGCGCAAGCCUG
rnacentral:rRNA from 1 species